AUUGAACGCUGGCGGCAUGCCUAACACAUGCAAGUCGAACGGCAGCGCGGACUUCGGUCUGGCGGCGAGUGGCGGACGGGUGAGAAAUGCAUCGGAAUCUGCCCCGACGUGGGGGAUAACGUAGGGAAACUUACGCUAAUACCGCAUACGUCUUACGGGAGAAAGCGGGGGAUCGAAGGACCUCGCGCGGCGGGAUGAGC
rnacentral:rRNA from 1 species